rnacentral:rRNA from 1 species
GCUCAGGACGAACGCUGGCGGCGUGCUUAACACAUGCAAGUCGAACGGUAAGGCCCUUUCGGGGUACACGAGUGGCGAACGGGUGAGUAACACGUGGGUGAUCUGCCCUGCACUUUGGGAUAAGCCUGGGAAACUGGGUCUAAUACCGAAUAUGACCUCGGGAUGCAUGUCUCGGGGUGGAAAGCUUUUGCGGCGUGGGAUGGGCCCGCGGCCUAUCAGCUUGUUGGUAGGGUGAUGGCCUACCAAGGCGACGACGGGUAGCCGGCCUGAGAGGGUGUCCGGCCACACUGGGACUGAGAUACGGCCCAGACUCCUACGGGAGGCAGCAGUGGGGAAUAUUGCACAAUGGGCGCAAGCCUGAUGCAGCGACGCCGCGUGGGGGAUGACGGCCUUCGGGUUGUAAACCCCUUUCAGCACAGACGAAGCGCAAGUGACGGUAUGUGCAGAAGAAGCACCGGCCAACUACGUGCCAGCAGCCGCGGUAAUACGUAGGGUGCGAGCGUUGUCCGGAAUUACUGGGCGUAAAGAGCUCGUAGGUGGUUUGUCGCGCUGUUCGUGAAAACUCACAGCUCAACUGUGGGCGUGCGGGCGAUACGGGCAGACUAGAGUACUGCAGGGGAGACUGGAAUUCCUGGUGUAGCGGUGGAAUGCGCAGAUAUCAGGAGGAACACCGGCGGCGAAGGCGGGUCUCUGGGCAGUAACUGACGCUGAGGAGCGAAAGCGUGGGGAGCGAACAGGAUUAGAUACCCUGGUAGUCCACGCCGUAAACGGUGGGUACUAGGUGUGGGUUUCCUUCCUUGGGAUCCGUGCCGUAGCUAACGCAUUAAGUACCCCGCCUGGGGAGUACGGCCGCAAGGCUAAAACUCAAAGGAAUUGACGG